UGGUACACAUUUACACAUAGAGUGUAUUAUUCCGAAAUGUGGAAAAAGUCUGAAUAUGUAAGUGACCAUCAACUUUUGAAUGGUACUGUAUGUGACUGACCGGAGUACAUUCCAUAUGUCGGCCCACAUGGACACAGAGGGGACAUUGUGACUGUCACUCAAGACCCCACACAGAAGGCGGAGGGUCGUAUGUCAGUAUCCAUUGUUCCACAGUGUACAGACUGUUGAAGCUCACGCUGGUACAGUCCAGCUCCUGAUCAUACCCAUACCUUACGACUCAUUGUAACAUUGGACUUCCCCCACCCUUACAGGCUUUAACCCACUCUCUUUGGGUGCUUAGCAUAAUAUGUGGGAGAUAUGUGGUUGAUGAGCUAUUUGAUUUUAGCUUGUGGCCUUGCAUUUGAUCACACGGGGAAAAUCGUGAAAUUCUGAUAUCAGGAGGAAUUUGUUGAUUGUUUGGAUAUUCACCAGUUAAGUACAGAACAGUGUAAUUUGUUUUCUGUAUUGUUGAAUAUUUCUCAUUGUCUCUUUAUAAUAACCCACUGUCUUACUGAACCCUUGAGAUGGGAAUUUUCAUGCGUGUAGGAGGAGUGCUUGUAUUUGAAUGCAGAAUUUUCUCAAUGCUGGGAAAGCGGUAUUGUAAGCAUGUCAGUUUUUAUUUAGCAGUUUGUUUUUCAGAUUUAAAAGUUAGAAAUAAAAAGUUAACCUCCAAUUCACUUCUAAUUCAGAAAAUACUUCUCUUCCUGUCACAAGUAAUGACUGUGAGGCUACACAGCAAAAUCACCAGUGUUAAAUUUUCAGGGAUGGUGUUAAAUACACAGUGUUGAUGCUGUUUUAACACUAUCUGGUAAUAAAAUAACACUGCCAUUGUUAGGCCAGUGUUAUAUCCACAACAGUGUCAGUGUAAAACAAGGGUGUUAUCAGAUUUCACUCUGAGCGGUGUAAAUCAAGCCACGCCUCCACUAAACAUAUCCUGUCAGGGAUUUUACCGCCAUUUUCUUUCACAGGAGGACUGAAGAGAUCAGAUGCUAGUUUGGUGAAAGUUCACACUGAGUGCUUCAAAUCAUUCAGAAGAGAUGCUGUUUUUAGGGCAGUUUAUUAAAGAAGACCUGACAUGGAUGACUUCCAAUGAGAAACGACUGCUAAUACUUAUAUAAAUUCAUUACAGAAGGACCCUACCAGACUAUAUUUGAAUACGGCAUACCCAUGAAUUCUGGAACUGUUAUUCCUUAACCCAGUUUGGAGGAUAAGAGCUUACCAACUAGUUAUAAAUAUGCUGAGGUGAUGUAUUGCAAAAUAGCCAACAUACAACAAUAUGGAUGACCCUCUGUCUGGUCAACAGGAGUUUAAAUAUGGACGGGACAGUGAUGUGGCAGCUCUUCCCUGGCUCAUUCACCUCUUGCCUUUCAUUUGUGAAAGGAAGAAAGAAGAAAGGGCGUCAAUGUGCAACUGAAGCUACUGAUUGUGCUAUGUGAUGAGAAUCAAUCCAUGCUUUGAGGUGGAUGGAUCAGCACAGCCCUGCCUGCACUGCGUUGGGAACAGAAGUUGCAUCCAGAAUUUUUGCAUCAUUCUGGACCAAAAAGCCAGUAAAACAACUACAGAACUAAAUACCAGGUUGGAACGUAUUUAAGAAAAAUGAAACGUCUUUUGAAUUGAAAUGUCUGUUUUGUUAUGGAUAAAUCUUUAGUAUUGUGAAGGAUAAGCAUUUCUGCCUGCCAGUAAGGUAAUUGCAGUGUAUUUUAAUGUUCAAGUUUUGAGUAGGGUGGCUAAUUUUUUUUUAAACUCUCAUUUGAUUUAUUAAAGACCUUAUAAUAAGUGGUUUUCAUGUCACUGCGCUGUGGUAUAAGAUAACUUUCAUUAUUCCAUACUGUAUUCUGUUUCUAAUUGUAGCUGAGCUAUUUAAAUAAGC